rnacentral:rRNA from 1 species
UACAGAGGGUGCGAGCGUUGUUCGGAAUUACUGGGCGUAAAGCGUGCGCAGGCGGUUCGUUAAGUUCGUUGUGAAAGCCCCGGGCCUCAACCUGGGAACUGCAAUGGAAACUGGCGGGCUUGAGUGUGGCAGAGGGGGGGUGGGGAAUUCCGCGUGUAGCAGUGAAAUGCGUAGAUAUCGGAGGAUACCGGUGGCGAAGGCGGCGAUCCUGGACCGACAUUGACGCUGAGGAGCGAAAGCUGAGGGGAGCAACAGGGGAUUAAGCAUGACCCGG